CCGAUAGUGUAUCAGUACCGUGAGGGAAUGGUGAAAAGUACCCCGGGAGGGGAGUGAAAUAGUACCUGAAACCGGUCGCAUACAAGCCGUCGGAGCCUUUUUGGGGUGACGGCGUGCCUAUUGAAAAAUGAGCCUGCGAGUUAGUGGUAUGUGGCGAGGUUAACCUGUGUGGGGUAGUCGUAGCGAAAGCGAGUCCGAUAAGGGCGUCAGUCGCAUGCUCUAGACCCGAAGCGGUGUGAUCUAUCCAUGGCCAGGAUGAAGCGUCGGUAAGACGUCGUGGAGGUCCGAACCCACUUCAGUUGAAAAUGGAGGGGAUGAGUUGUGGAUAGGGGUGAAAGGCCAAUCAAACACCGUGAUAGCUGGUUCUCCCCGAAAUGCAUUUAGGUGCAGCGUUGCGUGGUUCUUGUUGGAGGUAGAGCACUGGAUGGACUAGGGGGCUUAUCGGCUUACCGAAAUCAGCCAAACUCCGAAUGCUGGCAAGUGUAGCGUGGCAGUGAGACGGCGGGGGAUAAGCUUCGUCGUCGAGAGGGAAACAGCCCAGAUCAUCAGCUAAGGCCCCUAAGUGGUGACUCAGUGGGAAAGGAUGUGGAGUUGCAAAGACAACCAGGAUGUUGGCUUAGAAGCAGCCACCAUUGAAAGAGUGCGUAAUAGCUCACUGGUCGAGUGACUCUGCGCCGAAAAUGUAACGGGGCUAAACACACCACCGAAGCUAUGACCUGAACAAGUAAUUGUUCUUGGGUAGGGGAGCGUUGUAUGUAGGUUGAAGGUGUACUGUAAAGAGCGCUGGACAGCAUACAAGUGAGAAUGCCGGUAUGAGUAACGAAAAGAUCAGUGAGAAUCUGAUCCGCCGAAAGCCAAAGGGUUCCUGAGGAAGGCUCGUCCGAUCAGGGUAAGUCGGGACCUAAGGCGAGGCCGAAAGGCGUAGUCGAAGGACAACAGGUUGAAAUUCCUGUACCACCGUGAACCGUUAUGAGCAAUGGGGGGACGCAGAAGGAUAGA
rnacentral:rRNA from 1 species